GACGAACGCUGGCGGCGUGCUUAACACAUGCAAGUCGAACGAUGAAGAAGAGAAACGCGAACUUCGGUUCAAAUUUCACUUCGGAUUAGUGGCAGACGGGUGAGUAACGCGUGAGCAACCUACCUCUUACAAAGGGAUAGCCUCGGGAAACCGUGAUUAAUACCAUAUGACACAUUCAUAAGGCAUCUUAAGAAUGUUAAAGCUACGGCGGUAAGGGAUGGGCUCGCGUCCCAUUAGCUAGUUGGUGAGGUAACGGCCCACCAAGGCGACGAUGGGUAACCGGCCUGAGAGGGUGAACGGUCACAUUGGAACUGAGACACGGUCCAAACUCCUACGGGAGGCAGCAGUGGGGAAUAUUGCACAAUGGAGGGAACUCUGAUGCGGCGACGCCGCGUGAGCGAUGAAGGAAUUCGUUUCGUAAAGCUCUGUUCUAUGGGAAGAAAAGGACUGUACCAUAGGAGAAAGCUCCGGCUAAAUACGUG
rnacentral:rRNA from 1 species